AUAUAUAUGAAUGUUUUCCAAGAAAGGACGGGAUCGGAAUAAUGUUUUAGAAUGACAAGACCCUAGACCUUUUCAUCUCUUGAUACCCUAAAGUGGUGAACCAACAAAUUUGUAUCACACAUC